AGUCAGGAAGUCAGGGUAAACUCUGAUGGAGGACUGAAGCAAUUCUGAUGUGCAAAUCGAUUGUCA
rnacentral:rRNA from 1 species